UUUUGCAUAUCAAAAAAGCGGAGGAAAAGAAACCAACAGGGAUUGCCUCAGUAACGGCGAGUGAAGCGGCAACAGCUCAAAUUUGAAAUCUGGCCUCUUUGGGGUCCGAGUUGUAAUUUGUAGAGGAUGUUUCGGGCACCGCUCCGGUUUAAAUUUCUUGGAACAGAAUGUCAAAGAGGGUGAGAACCCCGUCUUGGACCGGCAGUAGGGCCCAUGUGAAACUCCUUCGACGAGUCGAGUUGUUUGGGAAUGCAGCUCAAAAUGGGUGGUAAAUUUCAUCUAAAGCUAAAUAUUGGCCAGAGACCGAUAGCGCACAAGUAGAGUGAUCGAAAGAUGAAAAGCACUUUGAAAAGAGAGUUAAACAGUACGUGAAAUUGUUGAAAGGGAAGCGCUUGCAACCAGACUUGCGCGCGGCGGUUCCCCCUUCCUUUUGGUUGGGUUAUUCCGCCGUGUCCAGGCCAACAUCGGUUCUGGGGGUCGGUUAAAGGCCUGGGGAAUGUAUCUACCCUUCGGGCGUAGACUUAUAGCCCCGGGUGUCAUGCGACCUCCCGGGACCGAGGAACGCGCUUCGGCUCGGAUGUUGGCGUAAUGGUUGUCAGCGACCCGUCUUGAAAACACCGGACCAAAAA
rnacentral:rRNA from 1 species